AAAUCUCAGGGGGUACUUACUGGCUAAUCCAUUUCCGUCCUUUUAUGAAUUUUUUUAUCCUGUGAUCAGAUUUAUUACAGAAUGCUUUUAAUUUGUUGUGUUUAAAAAUAUUUAAUUUCAACCUUUAGUUUAUGUAUACAUUUUCAAAACUACAUUUCAUUAAGUUAAAUAUGUCUCUAGUAUGUUGUUUCUUUAUAUUAUUAAAAAACAUUUUCGAGUUGUAGUUAGUGAUUUCCAUCCUUAAUUUGGGAAUGUAGGUUUUGGCUUUUUAGUUCAGUAACUCAACAUUUUCAACACUUAAAAGUAUGGAGACUGUUUUUUAAAUAGCAUUUAUUUAACAUUAAUAUAAUGCAGCAUAAGAGACAGUUAUAAAUUUAGGGAGAUUUCUUUUUAGAUUGCUGGGUGUUGGGAGUUGGCAGUUGUUGAAAUGAAAUUUAUAGUAGAUUCUAAUGAUUGCAUGAAUUGCUUUUACAAGUAGUAUUAUCUAUUAAAAAAAGCAUGCGAUUUUAAAUGUUGCUUGUUUUUAAGUAAUUUUUUUAAGAAUUGAAUAUCUGAUUUUGAAGUCACACACUAAACACAUUUUAUUGUUAUUUCUGAUAUUUGUCUUUAUAGACCCUUAUAGUUGCCUGGAUCAAAGCAAACCUAAAUGUGUACAUCUCCCGAGAACUUUGGGAUGACUUACUGUCAGUAUUGUCAUCGUUGACCUAUUGGGAAGAGUUGGCCACUGAGUGGUCACUGACUAUGGAGACAUUAACUAAAGUUUUAGCUAGGAAUUUAUAUAGUUUGGAUCUCAGUGAUUUACCAUUGGAUAAGCUGAGUGAACAGAAACAAAAAAAGCACAAAGGGAAAGGAGUUGGACAUGAAUUUCAGAAAGUUUCAGUUGACAAGUCAUUUUCUAGAGGAUGGAGUCGUGAUCAGCCUGGCCAAGCCCCAAUGAGACAGAGGAGUGCAACAACCACUGGUUCUCCAGGAACCGAAAAGGCGAGGAGUAUAGUACGGCAAAAAACUGUCGAUAUUGAUGAUGCUCAAAUACUUCCCCGCUCAACUAGAGUCAGACAUUUUUCACAAAGUGAAGAAACUGGAAAUGAAGUUUUUGGUGCUUUGAAUGAGGAGCAGCCAUUGCCUCGAAGUAGCAGCACUUCUGACAUCUUGGAACCAUUCACUGUUGAACGAGCCAAAGUCAAUAAAGAGGACAUGAGCCAAAAACUGCCUCCUCUUAAUAGUGAUAUUGGCAGCAGCAGUGCUAAUGUUCCUGAUCUGAUGGAUGAGUUUAUAGCAGAACGACUUCGAAGUGGUAAUGCCUCG
rnacentral:sRNA from 1 species